AACUUGUUUUGGCCGACCUCUCACCUGAUUGGAUGAAGAGGAUGAAGAGGAGACUAAAUCAGUGAUCUAAAAGUCUGAACUUUGUGUCUGGACUUUGGGCUGACUGGUUGUUUGAAAACCAUGUUGAGUAUAAUGAUCUGUAGCUCUUUUUGUGACAGCUUGAUUUGGAUACUUAUGGAUAAAACAAAUGUAAAUGAUAAGAUUUGUUAGUGACAUAAGAUGAUGAAGUCAACUCAGCCUUAAAAACAACUGUUGUUUUCUAUUA